rnacentral:rRNA from 1 species
UGGGGAAUAUUGCACAAUGGGCGCAAGCCUGAUGCAGCCAUGCCGUGUGUGUGAAGAAGGCCUUCGGGUUGUAAAGCACUUUCAGCGGGGAGGAAGGCGUUAAGGUUAAUAACCUUGGCGAUUGACGUUACCCGCAGAAGAAGCACCGGCUAACUCCGUGCCAGCAGCCGCGGUAAUACGGAGGGUGCAAGCGUUAAUCGGAAUUACUGGGCGUAAAGCGCACGCAGGCGGUCUGUCAAGUCGGAUGUGAAAUCCCCGGGCUCAACCUGGGAACUGCAUUCGAAACUGGCAGGCUAGAGUCUUGUAGAGGGGGGUAGAAUUCCAGGUGUAGCGGUGAAAUGCGUAGAGAUCUGGAGGAAUACCGGUGGCGAAGGCGGCCCCCUGGACAAAGACUGACGCUCAGGUGCGAAAGCGUGGGGAGCAAACAGG